rnacentral:rRNA from 1 species
AUUGAACGCUGGCGGCAUGCUUUACACAUGCAAGUCGAACGGUAACAGGUCUUCGGAUGCUGACGAGUGGCGAACGGGUGAGUAAUGUAUCGGAACGUGCCCAGUAGUGGGGGAUAACUACUCGAAAGAGUGGCUAAUACCGCAUGAGAACUGAGGUUGAAAGCGGGGGACCUUCGGGCCUCGCGCUACUGGAGCGGCCGAUAUCAGAUUAGGUAGUUGGUGGGGUAAAGGCCUACCAAGCCGACGAUCUGUAGCUGGUCUGAGAGGACGACCAGCCACACUGGGACUGAGACACGGCCCAGACUCCUACGGGAGGCAGCAGUGGGGAAUUUUGGACAAUGGACGCAAGUCUGAUCCAGCAAUGCCGCGUGUGUGAAGAAGGCCUGCGGGUUGUAAAGCACUUUCAGUGGGGAAGAACAGAUUCGGGUCAAUACCCCGGAGCCCUGACGUUACCCACAGAAGAAGCACCGGCUAACUCCGUGCCAGCAGCCGCGGUAAAG